CAAUAGCGUAUAUUAAAGUUGUUGCAGUUAAAAAGCUCGUAGUUGAAUUUCGGGUCCCCGCGCUCGGCGCUUCAUUGUGCCGUCGUGGUGUCCCUCCUCGCCGUAAGGCGUCCUUUACUGUGAAAAAAUUAGAGUGUUCAAAGCAGGCAAUCGCUUGAAUACAUUAGCAUGGAAUAAUAAGAUAGGAUCUUGUCUAUUUUGUUGGUUGCGGACAACGAUAAUGAUUAAUAGGGAUAGUUGGGGGUGUCCGUAUUGAGCUGUCAGAGGUGAAAUUCUUGGAUUUGCUCAAGACGAACUACUGCGAAAGCAUUUACCAAGGAUGUUUUCAUUAA
rnacentral:rRNA from 1 species